AUCUUUGCAUCCGAUUUUGGUGUCACGAUUCUGCUGCUACGGAAAAGUGAUGAAAAGGGAAUCAGGUGAGAAUCCUGGACAGACCCGCUGCUGUAAGCUCUGCUAAAAUCUUCAACAAUACUUUAGCCACUGUUCUGGAAAGAAUGGGAAGGGCGUUUGAAGAUUGGAGUAAGUCAGAAGACCUGCCGAAAUGAUGUAUGAUUG
rnacentral:ncRNA from 2 species